GCUGCUCAUAUCAGCUUCCAGAACCACCCGGUCCUGAGAGGCCCAGUGCUGCCCCCACCCCCAGAACGCUGGCCUCUCUGCAAGGUAUGGGCGUCCUGCUCACUCUAUCCACCGUAUCCCACAGGCCACUGCAGGGGACACGGGUUCGAGCCCUGGUCCGGGAAGAUCCCACAUGCUGCGGAGCCACUAAGGCCAUGCACCACAACUACUGAGCCUGCGCUCUAGAGCCCGCGAGCCACAGCUACUGAACCCACGCACCACAACUACUGAAGCCCGUGCGCCUAGAGCCCGUGUUCCGCAACAAGAGAAGCCACCGCAAUGAGAAGCCCACGCACAACAAGAGAAGAGUAGCCCCCGCUCGCCGCAGCUAGAGAAAGCCCACACACAGCAAUGAAGACCCAAUGCAGCCAAAAAUAACUAAAUAAAAUAAAUGUAUAACAGCAACAAAAGAAA